rnacentral:lncRNA from 1 species
CAGGGACUCAUAUAUGUCAAGUUAAUCAAGCCAGAUACGAGAAGCAACUUAAGGGAAGAGGAAUGGCCUUUGGCUCAUGGUUUGAGGGGAUACAGUUAACCAUGGCUCGUGGUGACUGGAGUAAGUUGUGUCUAUUUGUUAUAUUUUAGUGGACCAGGAAACAAAGCUUUAGUGGGAAGUGGAGCUGGGUGACAAUAAACGUCAAUCUGUAAAAAUUAAAAUAAUUUACAGAGAAUACAUGUUGUGAACAUGGGAUCAUGCCGCAUGUAACUGGCUUCCUGCACUCAGUGCAAGGGUUUCAAGGUUCAUGUCAUUACCCCUGGCAUCUGUAGCUUGCUGCCUUUGCUACACAGUGCAUCUGAGCAUGUAGUGCACACGUUGCUAAGCCGGCCAUCCCUGACAUCUGAGGAGAUUCCAGCUUCUGGAAAUUAUGAACACGGUUGCUACGUGUCAGGUAACUCAUCACAAAAGUAGAGCACAAUGUUUUCACAGUGAAGAAGUGAUCAAGCUUCGUCUCACUAAUAAUGGGAUAAACCAA